CUCUCCUGCACGGGGGAAAUGUGUGUCCAGGGGUGCUGAGGGGUGCAGAGCCAGGCCCAAAGCCCUCAGGGGGCUGAAGGUACAGACAGGUGCCCACUGGCCACCCUUGGCUGUGUCCUCCACACCCUGGUCAGCCCAAAUGCCAUGGGGAAGGUGAAAGCAGAGAUUUACAUCCAAUUCACUGAUCCAGCCUGCCUGGGAGCGAGGAUUGGGAACUUCCAGCCCUGGGUGACUGAACAAACACAGCAUCAACCACCAGGAACGAUUUGCAAACAACUGAGCAGCAGACAAAUGUGCAAAUGUACUACUUCUGGAUAAUGAAUGCAUAAUCUAUUCCGACUCCCCUUC